CGGGAGUUUUAUGAAUGGU
rnacentral:snRNA from 1 species